UGUGCCUGCACUGAAACCUUUGUCCUGUCCUUGUUCCUACAAAUUUGACCCCUGAAACCUGCCUCCUUGUUCCUGGAUUCAACACCACUUCGUUUAAACUUGCAGUGUUGGCUGCGUGCUGCGAGGCGCUGCGAUGUCUGUCCAGCUCGAUCUGCAGCUGUCGGAUCAGAUCGUCCUUUGUGUCCAGCUCCAGCUCCAGCUCAUCGAUCAGAGAGUCUCUCUGACGGAGCUCCUCGAUCUUCAGCUGCAGAGCCAGCUGCAGGUCCCGCAGGGUGCCGGCACUCUUAGACACAGCCAUGUACAGAUACAUGUACAAGUUCUGCACAGGAGGAAGAGGAGGGAGAGUACACUGGUUACAGCUGGGGAAUGUUGUACUGUAGUGGAAAGUUACUAAAGACAUUUACUCAAGUGCUGUACUUAAGGAUAAAAUUGAGCACAGCUACACUCACAGAUAACUGAGCCAUAAACCCAGAAACCUUCCUGAGACUUUCCAGAUCUGAAUGGAGUCCGGUGUGGAUCAGACGUGAAGUCCGCCGACCAGUGGCCACUUGCUCUGCUGCCAUUCAGAGGCUAACAGACGGAGCUAGCUGCUAACAGCCACCACUGCAACAAACAAACUCCACAAAUCCUUUGAGCAGCUCCACCAUCCACAGACGGCUGAUUAUGUUCUGAUGAAAUGCAGCUCAUAACUUGCACCAACGGCUGACACUGCUCUGGUGUGAAUGUUUUUGCUGGCUAGGGAAACGUCCUGGUGCAGACUAUUUACUGGAGUUUGCCAGCCUGUCGAUCAUGCAGCAUUUGCAGAUAAUUAUGUCACUGUCUGACAGUCGAUCAUGAACAUCUUCAUCUCGUCUUGUCACAUCAGUGAAAAUGAAGCACAGAUUUCUUAGAUUUUUAUUAUCAAGAUUUAUUUUUAGCUUGUCAACGUCUCAUUUUUGUCACAGAAAAAAGGUUGUUGACGAAAGAUUUUUGUCAUAGUUUUCGUCAACAAAAUUAACUUUUGGUAACAGCAUCACUUUCACCAAGAAGGGAUGAGCUAAGGGUCAUGUAAUGUGUUUCUUGUAUGACCACUUACUUCUUGACCUUACAUGUCUAAUUUCAUGGCUCAAUAAAGAAGAUUUUA